GCCCGGUUAGCUCAGCUGGUUAGAGCGUCGUACUAAUAUCAUUAUCAUAAUAUAUUUAGUAAACAAUGCGAAGGUCAACAGUUCAAUCCUGUUACUGGGCA